rnacentral:lncRNA from 1 species
UUGGCUGCCUUUUUUUUUUUAAUUUUUGCCAGGCAGUCUUAUGGCAAAGUAGAAAAAAGAGAGUCAAGAUUUUAAAAGCACCCUGGCACUCAUUGUAAAUGUGAGAUUCAUUUAGUAGCACAGGGUUGUCAUCACUAACAUGCUGCUUCAGAGAAGGGGAUAAAACCUAGUGAAACUACUGAAAUUCAUGGCUGUGCUCGUCUGAAUUGAAUUCAGUGAGGAAAAGGAUGAGAUGUGUUUGCACACGUACAGAACGAAGGGGUGAAUAUUGGUAUAGUGAAAACUAGAAUGUUUUCCAAAAUCUGCAGGCUUACAAUGAUCUUAAUUUUUCGGAGUUCUUUGAGGCCAUUUCAAGUUUUUUUUCUUUGAAUUUGUCUUAUCAGCCGUAAUGGUGGGCGUUUCCAGAAAGCAGCACCUGCGAUAAUUCAGUUUUACCAUAUACUUAAAACAAGAACCAGCUGAAGGCGGUAUAUUUUGGAAAAUGUUGGCUACAGUGUUUAUUUUCUUGGGUUUGGUUUCAUUUGCUGUCUCUUUGAAGCAGUAUUUUCUCCUGUGUUCUGGAGUGUUCAGGCUGCUGCAUGUGAGUUUCUAGCACUUACCUUUCCUACCAGCUGCAAAUGGAAUUGUUCCUAAAAGCAUGGGGAGAGAAAGUGAAUCAUCUCUCUGAAAACACUUUUUUUGUGUGUACAGAAGACAAUGGGCUAGACCUUGGAUACCAUUUGCAAAAAUCUCCAAAGAAUCCCAAGGAACCCCGCCAGUCACAGCCUGCUGUCCCCUGA